UCCAACUUUCAAUCAACCAUUGCUGCCCCUUUUCUCUCUCUCUCUCUCUCUCUGCCCUCUGCAACCGACCAACCAACGAACCUUUUCGUUGUUCAGGCCUCUUUCUCUCUCUUUCUUGUGAAUCGGUUUACUUUCUCUUCUUCUUCCUUUUCCUUUUUCUACAACUCUAUUGACAAUUUCCCCUUUCCCUUUCCUUUAAGAAGAACGGCGGAGAAAAACCAUUUUUUGUUUUUCUUCUGUGUUUCUAAUCAGAACCUUUGCUUAUUUCCGGUGAAUUUAGGCAACCAUAUUUGAUUUUGACAGUUUACUGUGCUAGUUUCCUGAAAUCGCCUCGUUAUUUGGUCCUUGGAAGAAGAUAAUUUCAGAAAAUGAGAAGAAAAGAGGGAAGAUCCAAUUUUGAGUAAGGUUGCUUCACUUAAAGCUGAUUCUUUUUUAGGUCUUUGAACAAUUCUUUGUUGAAGAAGAAGAAACAAGAAGAAUGGGGAACAAAAGGAGGUUGGGAUUGGAAAGUUUGAAGGUUUUGUCGUUGGUGAUGACUACUCUUGCAACAGUGGAUGUCCAAAGCGUGGUCUCUGAGGAAGUAACAGUGCAUCGGAACUCUUAGCUGUUGCUAUUGGAUGAAGCUUUAGGCUACCCAACUGGUUAUCUCCCUCCCUCUCUCGUGGCUGAUUUCAGAUUUGAGCUCUCUCCAUACUGGUUCUCUUCAAACCAUGGCUUCUUCCGAUCAUAUAUGAACUACCCUUUCUGAUCAGAUAUGAACUACUCUUUGUUCUUGUUCUAUUCUUCCUCUGUUUCGUCUCCUUUAUAUUUCUUCUUCAAAGCUAGGUGGAUCCCCUGUUUUGGGUUAGAAUUCAACAUUCUUGAUCUUAUCAUAUCAAAUAGAUUAAUUGCUUUUUGUUUCCAUAUUGGUAGAUAGGUGUCUGUUGGCAUUAUCCAUUAUAUCCUGGCUUUAGUUUUCUAUUUAAUUAGUUGUUUUUGUCCAGUAAGAAUAUAUGCUCUGUUUUCUAAAUUUUCUGCAACUCACAUCGAUCCUUCUAUGGUUGUUUUGGAAUUCUAUUUUAUUUCGAAUCACUUUUCUAAGCUUGGGAUAUACUAUUUGAUAUGGCAGAAUUUGUCACCGAAUAAAGCAAGGACAUGUGGCAACCGAAGGAGGGACGCGUGUCACCCAUCCUAUAAAGGCCGUAGGGCUCCAAACCGCAUGAAGGGAAGAUUCCCGAAGGGGCAAGGCUCCGACCACGUGAGGGGAAGGUUCCCGAAGGGGCAAAGCUCCAACCAUGUGAGGGGAAGGUUCCCGAAGGGGCAAGGCACCAACCACGUGAAGGGAAGAUUCCCGAAGGGGCAAGACUCCCAACCACGUGAAAGGAAGGUUCUAGAAGAGGCAAGGCUCCUAACCACGUGAGGGGAAGAUUCCCGAAGGGGAUUUUCCGAAACCCUAGGCCCAGCAACCCUAUAAGAGGAAAUCGAAAAGGGACACCAGGAGGGUUAGCUCCUAACAGAUUUCAGCAAUAACAGAUUGGCGUCGUCUGUGGGAAGGAUAGUAAUGGUGGGGAAAACCUACAACCGUAAGAAAACAAGAGUAGCGCUGAGCAUAAACAUGGACGAGGAACCUUCAGGAGGGUUCCCUUCCUCGACAAAAAUUGGCGAAGAACGGGGAAACGAUCAUCGGGAAGGUUCCAUGAGGAACCAGCAUUCCGUCGGAUAUUUGGUGCGUGGAGAAGGUAAUCCUCCCCCUCCUAGGGCACAGGAAUAUGUGACAAGGGAGCAGUUCGAAGCCCUUCAAGAGAAGUAUGACCGAAUGGCCGAGACAAUGAAGGAAGUCUUUAAGGCCGUCUCCCAGAAGAUCGAUGGAGCACCACAAGGCCCCCAUAUACAGAAAGAGCGUGCCCAAGACGAGGACCGGAGUAGCACAGGAUCGAUAAGGUCUGGCAAGAAUCAUCGCAAUCGAGCAAUGAGGGAAAGCCCCACACCCAAGGAAAUGACGCGUCGCGCCGUCGGGACCAGGCAUGGGGAACCACGCCAAGUAGACGGAUAGAGACACGAGGACAUAGGGUUGAAGCAGAUGAUCCUAGACUUGAAAAGCGAGAUCAGGAAGGUAGCGGAAAAUCAGAUAGGAUCUCACGAGUCGGACCUCACUAAUGACAUGGCUCUAGCUGAUGAGGUCAUGAGGGACCCACACUCGAUCGGUUUCUGCCUGCCCAAAUACGACACCUAUGACGGGUCUGGGGACCCCGUCGACCAUCUGGAAGGCUUCAAGGUUGCUAUACAGUUUCAUCAAGUCUCGGAAAACAUCAUGUGUCAUGCAUUGCCUUUGACUUUCAGAGGAGCGACAAGCUCUGGUACAACCGCUUGCCAACGAAAUCGAUCCAUAGUUUCAGCGAUUUAAGUUACUGCUUCGUGAAAGGAUUCUCCAGUAGCCAACCCCUUCAGAAGACCACGUUGAACCUGACUAACAUCAAGCAACAUGAAGGGGAAUCACUGCGAAACUACAUGAAGCGAUUCCAGCAAGAGAAAAUCACGAUCAGAGGUUUGGACCCGAAAGAAGAGUUCACGACCCUACUGGGAAUUGUCAAAGAUAAGGAGCUGAAAAGGUCUUUGGCGAAGCAUACACCGAGGAAUCUAGCCGAGUUGAGGGCCCGGUGUGAUAAGUACAUCCAAAUGGAAGAAACCCUCUAAGCCGAUGAAGAAGCCGAGGAGAAGACGUGAAGGAAGAGGAUCUUUGGAGUCGAGGACAAACCUUCCGAAGAAGGCAAAAGACGGAGGACCGAACGUGGUCGGGCACCCAGUCCACCGAAAAAGUUUGAGAGAUACGUGCCUCUGAACCAAAACGAACGGAUGUACUAAUGCAGAUAAAGGACUCCUUGGAUGCCAGAGCCAUGAAGUGGCCAGGGAAGAUGGGACGACACCCUAAGAGACGCAAUAUGGACAAAUAUUGCCACUUCCACAGGGACCACGGCCACGGCACCGAAGAUUGUUGGCAUCUAAAAGGGGAAAUAGAAGGAAUGAUCUGAAGAGGAUAUUUGGGCCGAUUCGUAGACCGCGAGAAGGAGGAUGCCCAAGACGGUAAUGACUGCAGGAAUAACCGAGGUAGAGACGACAAAGGCCGCCAUGAAAGAAGGGGACUGGCCUGCAGAGGCAAUCAAUAACGACAAAGGGAUCAGAUAACCGAGGAAGCUGACCAUCGCCUCCGGGACGAACAUAAAAGCCCAACUAGGGUCAUAGCGACAAUCUAUGGAGGCUUAGCCACUGGAGAAAGUUCAGUCUCGGCCAGGAAAGCAAAAGCAUAUGCGAGAAGCGUACAUAUGGCUGAAUGGUCGAAUAAGAAGGUGAAGACGGGGACGGUUAUUUCCUUCUCGGAUGACGACUUACAAGGAGUGCACACGCCACACGACGAUGCCCUAGUAAUCACCAUGACCAUAGGCGAUUGCAAAGUAAAAAGGAUCUUGGUGGAUAACGAUAGUUCAACUGAUAUCCUGUUCCUUGAAGCUUUCCAAAGGAUGGGCCUGGACGAGGGAAAGCUAAAGAAGGUCGAACACCCGUUGCAGGGAUUCUCCGGUGUCCUGGUCAAAGUGGAGGGAUCAAUUGAGUUACCAGUAAGAGCUGGCACCGGAGACCGCCAAGUGACAAUAAUAAUCAACUUCCUGGUGGUGGGCAUUACUUUAGCGUAUAACGCUAUACUAGGGAGAGUUGGUUUAAACCGGCUAAAGGCUAUCGUUUCCACUCCACACCUCAAGAUGAAGUUCCCAACCAAGAACGGUGUUGGUGAAUGCCGAGGCGAUCAUGAGGCAUCUUGGAGGUGCUACGCCACCACCUUAUGGGGAAAAGAAAAGGCGGGUGAGGCGCUCCCAAUAGAAGAUCUACGCGAUGACACCAGUUAUCAAAGGGGGAACCGGUUGAGGAACUGAUAUAGGUUGAAGCCGAAGAGGGGGAUAACACUCGCUAGUUCCAAGUGGGGGCUACAAUGCCAAGGCAACAACGAGAAAAACUCAUCUCCUUCCUCCGAGAUAAUUCUGACGUCUUCGCCUGGUCAGCCUUGGACAUGCCUGGAAUAGACCGAGAAGUAAUAGAGCACCAUCUGAGUGUCAACCCGACUAAGAAGCUAGUACAGCAGAAGAAGAGGACCUUCGCCCCUGAAAGGCAACGGAAGAUAGAUGAAGAAGUAAAGAAAUUAUUGAAGGCCCGGUUCAUCCGUGAAAUCCAAUACCCGGAGUGGAUAUCCAAUGUGGUGAUGGUCCCGAAGGCAAAUGGGAAGUGGAGGAUCUACAUCGACUUCACAGAUCUGAACAAGGCCUGCCCAAAGGACGGCUACCCCCUGCCGCAGAUAGACCUCUUCAUCGAUGCCACAACAGGACACGAGGCGCUGAGCUUCAUGGAUGCAUACUCAUGGUACAAUCAGAUAAAGAUGUCUGAGGCUGAUGUCCUAAAGAUAUCCUUUGUGAUCGAGGGGGGAUUGUACUGCUAUGAAGUCAUGCCUUUCGGACUAAAAAACGCAGGGGCCACCUAUCAAAGGUUGGUGAAUAAGAUCUUCAAGGGGAUGAUUGGUAAAACCAUGGAGGUAUAUGUAGAUGACAUGCUGGUAAAAAUCCUGAAGGCAGAACACCAUAUUCAAAACCAAGAAAAUGCGUUCCAGGUGCUGAGGUGGUACGGCAUGAAGCUGAACCCGACAAAGUGUGCGUUCGGAGUAGCAUCGGGAAAGUUCCUCGGAUGUAUUGUCUCCGAGAGAGGGAUUGAAGUCAAUCCGAUGAAAAUACAAGCCAUCCGAGAUAUAAGGUCACCACAGAAUGUGAAGCAAGUCCAGGAGCUAAUAGGUAGAGUCAUUGCCCUAGGACGGUUCAUGUCUUAGUUGGUUGACAAGUGCCUCCCAUUUUUCAAAGCCUUGAAGGGGUCCAAAAAGUUCGAGUGGAUGGAGGAAUGCGAAAAGUCCUUCGAGCAACUGAAGGAGUACUUGGCCGCACCCCCACUACUGACGAAACCCUAUAUGGGGGAUACCUUAUAGUUAUACCUAGCCGUAUCAGCAGUAGCAGUAAGUGCGGUACUGAUAAAGGAAGAAGGAAGACAACAUUGACCAAUAUACUACGUUAGUCGAACGCUUUUGGAUGCGGAAACGAGAUACAGAAAAGUGGAAAAAGUAACACACGCCCUAGUGAUAGCGGUAAGAAAGCUGAGGCCCUAUUUCUAGUCGCACACGGUGUGUGUGCUCACAGACCAACCACUGAAGAAGAUGCUACAGAAGCCGGAUAUGUCUGGCCGCCUAGUAAACUGGGCCGUAGAAUUGGGAGAAUUUGACAUCUAAUACAAGCCAAGAACCGUAAUAAAAGCAUAGGCUCUAGCGGACUUCAUAGCCGAGACAACACUCCCAGAUGAACCCCAGGAGUCUGUCGAGGCUCGGGAGAAAAAGACUUGGGCAUUGUAUGUGGAUGGUGCAUCCAACUGCGUGAGAAGCGGCGCUGGGAUCAUACUUGUUAGCCCCGAAGGAUUCAAAAUCUAGUAUGCAAUACGGUUCGACUUCGAUGCCUCCAACAAUGAAGUUGAGUACGAAGCCCUAAUAGCUGGAAUAAAUCUGGCGGGGGCUUUGAUGGUACAGGAGUUAGUAGUGCACAGUGACUCACAGCUCGUGGUGCGACAGGUGAAUGGGGACUAUGAAGUCAAGGAACAAAUGAUGGCCGAAUACUUGAAGACGGUGUGAGAGAAAGUAACAGCCUUUAAGGAGUUUGAGAUAAGGCAGGUGCCACGGGCGGAGAAUGCCAGUGCGGACGCGCUGUCACAAUUGGCCACCUCUGAUUUCACAGACCUUUGGUGAUCAGUGUACUUUGAAGUAUUAUCCCAUCCAAGCAUCGAAGAACCCCGGGAGAUAUUAUCCGUAGCCGAAUACAGCCCUAGCUAGAUGGAUGCCAUAGUCAAAUACCUAAAUGAAGGAACACUCCCUGAGAAUAAGGAUGAGGCAAGGAAGGUAGGAAUGCGGUCUGCACGCUUCCUUUUGAAAGACCAGACACUGUACAAAAUAGGGUUCACCCGUACCUCAAGUGCCUGAACCUUGUCGAUGGUGAGUAUGCACUCCGUGAAGUACAUAAGGGGAUAUGCGGCCAACACUUGGGAGCCCGAGCCUUGGCCCACAAAUUGCUGAGGCAGGGCCUGUUCUGGCCGAUAAUGAAGAAGGACGCGGAAUCGUUUGUCAGGAAGUGCGUCAAGUGUCAGAUGUUCUCCUCUCUUCCCAGGCAGCACUCUACCGAGCUUUCAUCCCUAUCAAACCCAAUACCAUUUGCCAUGUGGGGAAUGGACAUCCUGGGCUCGUUCCCCCUGGCCACGAGACAAAGAAAAUUAGUAGUGGUGGCGGUAGACUAUUUCACGAAAUGGGCAGAGGCCGAAGCACUGACGAUGAUAUCCGAAAAGAAUAUCAGGGACUUCUUCUAGAGGGCGGUAGUCUAUCGAUUCGGAAUCCCUCGGGUGGUGGUAACGGACAAUGGAACUCAGUUUGCCAACCCGACUUUUGGCUUGUUUUGUGAUGCCCUCGGCAUUGACCACAGGAAAACAUCUGUCGGCUAUCCAUCGACCAACGGAUUGACAGAGGUAACCAACCGUACCCUUCUCCAAGGAAUAAAGAAGAGGCUCGAUGAUGCCAAAGGGUUAUGGGUAGAAGAGUAGUACAAUAUCCUCUGGGCUUAUCGCACAAGUGAGAGGUCAGCCACCAGAGAAACACCCUUCAUUUUAAUUUACGGCACCGAAGCUGUACUACCAGUGGAGGUAGGAGCCGUAACCCACCGGAUUCAGUACUACAAAGAAGAAGAAAACGAUAAAAGACUCCGACCUAAUUUAGACCUUUUGACCGAAGUCAGAGACACCUCGCAAAAAAGGAUUGCCGCCUACCAGCAGAGGGUUACGAGGCACUACAACUCAAAAGUCCGGAAGAACGAGUUCAGAAUGGAUGACCUCAUCCUCAGAAGGGCAGAAGUAUUGGAUUCGAGGAAUCAAGGAAAGCUAGCUCCAAAUUGGAAAGGUCCUUACAGAGUCUUGAAGAUAAUACGACCCGGGUCCUAUCACUUGGAGAUUACGGGGGGAGAAAAGGUACCCCGAUCAUGGAACUCGAAGAACUUGAGGAAAUUCUACCAAUAGAAUAUCUACACUUUACAUUUCACAAAUUUUUCCUAAACGAUUCCAAGUUGUAACUCUGCAUCCAAAGCACUCCGAGGGAUUUUCACCCCGUAAAUAUAUGAGAUGGAUUACGACAAUAGCUUCCCGAUGGUUACAAAUGUAAGGCACUCCCCUCGGUCGGGCGCUCGGACCAAAGCGGAGAUAACAUGAUCAAAAGAAUGAUCCUAGCUGGGAGCCGAAUAUAGGUAGGAGUUAUGGAAGAAGCAACCGAGGCGGGGGCUGAAUGAAUUGAGGUUCGUGGGAGCCUAGGUUUUCAUUCCCCUACGCCUUCAUACCUCCAUCCGUAGGAUGAAAAGCAGAAACACCCCAUCGGACUUGGUAUCGGUUUUUGGGAUUACAAAAAAGUGAACUCGAAUGAGAGCUUCAACCUUUGUACCUUACCAAUGGGCUGAAGAUCCGGAAAAUCCUUUCGGAUUUGGAAUCGGUCUUCGGGAUUGCAAAAAAAAAAAACAAAACAAAACAGAAAAAAAGAAGAGGCAAGUGGGGAAAACAGCAUAAAAGAGGGAGCAUUUCAUUCAUAAAGCCUGAAGGCCAAAAUUACA